AUCGUCACGACGCUAUGCUGCCUAACAAGAUGAACCUCUGAACACGCGCAAAGUCUGCAGUGUCCGUCCGGAGGAAAAGAAGUACUCCAGGUAUACAAAACGUUUUACGUGAGGGAGAAAACCUGGAUGGAGAAACAAAAUCACAGUAUGGAAUGCGUCUACAUCACACCAAUUAGUAAAAACGAAAAGAGUCAUCAGUUGAAAGCUGAAAUGGGAUAUCGGAAUAGCACCACAGGGAAUUUCGUACGUCCAAAAGUGUACAAUGUUACAGCAACAAACUUGAGAGUCGGAAGCAAGAUAUACGAUUUGAUAAAUGUUCGAGCCGAAGGGCUAGGAAUUCGUACUUACCAGCUGGUGUACUCAGAUAACCAUGGCUGCAAUAUUUUGAGAUGGCUGAAUUCAUACAGAGUACAUAGUUCAUACACAGUUCAUACAGACGACUGCGAGGUAUGGACGCCAUCAGAAAAUCUAAAAGCUGCGAAGAAACACUGCAACUUUAUGAUCGAGCAUAUAUGUGGUACGGUUACAGAGUCAUUCUACAAGGACAGCU